UGAGAAGCUGCUAUAGCAUAGUGUGCUGCUCAAUUGUUUUAAUUUUAUCCUGCUAGGGACUGCCAAAUUUGUUUGAAGAUGCUGUUAUAAAUUUGAUAAAUUAGGAAGUUUUAAGGACAUGUGAUGAUCAGUUAUGCUGGCGAAGCCCUUCUUUGCAGUGUUGAAGAAUGUUAACUUGAAAAGGGAGCCUUGGAGCAACGGUUGAGUUGUCUCCAUGUGACCUCAAGGUCACGGGUUCAAGAUGUGAAUGUAAUUAUCAAGUUGGGAUACGUACAUUACAUCCUUUUGGUGCGACCCUUCCUCGGACCCUGUGUUAACGUGGGUUACUUGUGCAUUGGGCUGUCCUUUUUAUAUUUAUAUAAUUCAUUCAGAUUGGCAGGGACAUACAAUGUUGUCUGUGUUCUAAUAAAAUGAUGUAAUUUAUAUUUUAAACUUGUGUGCUUAGAUAAUCUUCAGUUUUAGUUUAGCACUCACCUGAAAACAGAUUAUUGUUCAGGAUCUUCAAGUACUCAUUGUCAUAAAUAUAAAAGUAGAAGCCUCAUCCAUGUUUUUUCUUUCUUGUCCACUCAAUUACUGAAGAGAAAGAUGCAAGAUGCUAGCUC